rnacentral:tRNA from 1 species
GGUCUCAUGGUGUAAUGGUCAGCACUCUGGACUUUGAAUCCAGCGAUCCGAGUUCGAAUCUCGGUGAGACAUGUCA